rnacentral:rRNA from 1 species
CACGGGGGGAGCAAGCGUUGUUCGGAUUUACUGGGCGUAAAGCGCACGUAGGCGGAUCGUUAAGUCGGGGGUGAAAUCCUGGAGCUCAACUCCAGAACUGCCUUCGAUACUGGCGAUCUUGAGUCCGGAAGAGGUGAGUGGAACUCCUAGUGUAGAGGUGGAAUUCGUAGAUAUUAGGAAGAACACCAGUGGCGAAGGCGGCUCACUGGUCCGGUACUGACGCUGAGGCGCGAAAGCGUGGGGAGCAAACAGG